rnacentral:rRNA from 1 species
GCCCAUAGUCUGGGAUACCACUUGGAAACGAGGUGCUAAUACCGGAUAAGAAAGCGGAUCGCAUGAUCAGCUUUUAAAAGGCGGCGUAAGCUGUCGCUAUGGGAUGGCCCCGCGGUGCAUUAGCUAGUUGGUAAGGUAAAGGCUUACCAAGGCGAUGAUGCAUAGCCGAGUUGAGAGACUGAUCGGCCACAUUGGGACUGAGACACGGCCCAAACUCCUACGGGAGGCAGCAGCC